rnacentral:lncRNA from 1 species
GUGCAGGAAUGCUAUUAGAUUUGAGAAGAAACCAUUUGAUGACAAUCUUGUGUGCCGAGAGAUUGCAAUUCUUAUUCAUGCACGUGGCAGAAGAUGCAAAAAAUGGUUAAAGGGGCUGCGACAACUUAAUUACUAUCCGUAGUUCCUAGUUGAUUUGUACUAGCAGUAUAGUUGUUUAGGAAGUGGUAGUUAGUCUAUACUACCACUAAGAACACUCUUAUGUACAUUUGUUGAUAUCAAUAGAAGCCAAUGUUAAACUUAAAAAAAA